GGGAUUUCAUUUUUUAGGUUAACAUUAUUCAAACUUUCUGUUUUAGUAUAUAGCCUUUUGUAAUAAUUGUUUGCUUCUUUUAAUAUUUUAUCUUGCUCACUGAUAGUGUCCCCUUUUUCAUUGACUAAUUUUGGAAUAGUUUUAUUUAUAAAAUGUUUAGUUUCUAAAUUUAGAAAAAAGUUUGAAGGUUUUUCUCCUUCUUCUAUCCAUUGCAUUUUGGAUCUGAUGUAGGACCCCCUCAUCUUUUCUUGUCUUAAUACUUUUAGAUCAGUUUUCUUUUUUUCAGUUUCAAUAAAUAUUUCUUCUGACAAUAUUUG
rnacentral:lncRNA from 1 species